rnacentral:rRNA from 1 species
GGGUUGUGAGGUUAAGCGACUAAGCGUACACGGUGGAUGCCCUGGCAGUCAGAGGCGAUGAAGGACGUGCUAAUCUGCGAUAAGCGCCGGUAAGGUGAUAUGAACCGUUAUAACCGGCGAUUUCCGAAUGGGGAAACCCAGUGUGAUUCGUCACACUAUCAUUAACUGAAUCCAUAGGUUAAUGAGGCGAACCGGGGGAACUGAAACAUCUAAGUACCCCGAGGAAAAGAAAUCAACCGAGAUUCCCCCAGUAGCGGCGAGCGAACGGGGAGGAGCCCAGAGCCUGAAUCAGCAUGUGUGUUAGUGGAAGCGUCUGGAAAGGCGCGCGAUACAGGGUGACAGCCCCGUACACAAAAGCGCAUGUGCUGUGAGCUCGAUGAGUAGGGCGGGACACGUGGUAUCCUGUCUGAAUAUGGGGGGAC